UUAAAUCGUUUGAUACUGAAGUUCUUUUAUGUCUGCAAUCGGUUGCUUGUUCGUCGCUUGCAUUCGUUGAUUUCGUCGGCUGCUUAAUGGCAAGCGACGAACAAGCAAUUUGAGUUAUGCUUUAAUUUUUCAUCUUCAUUGUGUCACGUUAUCGAGGCUUCUAAUUGGAGUGUUUUCAGGGGCUUUUUUGAUCUACUCCGUGGUGAUUAUACCGAUUUAGAUGUUCUGCUCUUCUUUUUCUCCCCGUAUAUCAGAGGAUUCGUGAUUCUGGAAACGCCGAGCAAUAGAGCCAUUUGUUACCAAUUGGACGGCUGCUCCUCAGCGACUGACUUAUGUUUUUCUUGUUAUUGGCGAUUAUUUGUUUUCGUUUCAAGAUAAAAUUGAAUAGGCAUUAAUCUCGCUUCAACAUAACAUUCUUUCUAACGUGUUUUCCUUUAUUUGUGGCAACGAGAUCGACCUCAUUUGUUGUCUCAUUUUGUUUUUUCUUAUCGUUUUAUUAGUUAUCCGCGGUUAUUUUCUGCUUGUUUCAUGGUCUUGCUAGCCUCAAACUGAUAAUGUUUGAAGAUUGUACUUUAUUGCUUGGACUCUGGAUACUGUUUUCUCGUGAUUGUUAGGCAGACGCUUUUAAUACAUUGCUGUCCCCUGAAUUUCAAGUUGGCAACAUUGUGUUGCUGAUCUGUUGUCUUUGAUAAAUCUAAGUCGCCUUGAUUUUGCAGAAAGUUAAAAACAUGGUAUUUUAUGUCAAAAUGCACGAUUAUGCAUUGCUUAUGCCAAGUUUGUCUCUGGUUAAGCCUUAUAGGCUGUUUUGAUUGUUUCUUAUUCAUAUCCUCAGCAGGCUUCAAUAAUGCUUGGAGAAAACAUUUAUUCCACGGUGAUUUAACCAAUAUAAAUUUUUGCUCUUUUUUUCUUCCCUUACAGCAGUGUAAUUUUGUAGUCGGUUCUGUUUGGUUCUACAUUGACUUAGUAUUUCAUUUAGAUAAAUAUUCUUCAGUCAUGAGCAUUGAGGAACAUGAACUAGAUCAAAGAUGGCUCUGGAGUCUAUAAAUACUCGGUGUUUGAUUAGUUUUGGUAUCCUAAGCAUGUGCCACCCAUAAAUAUUACCUGGUCUUGUAUAUUCGUUAGAGAGACAAAAUGACUUGGUUUAUGGUAAGGAUAGCAGUUAAAGGUCUUUUUUAUCUUCAGCCUAUUGAUUUUAUCGGAGGUAAAUAGGUAAUUAUCAGAUUUGCUCGUUAAUGGAGCUUUCCUGGUGUGCUGUUUAAGAUGUCAAGUAAUCUAAGUUCUACUGUUUUAAAUCAGUUGCGGCACUAUUAAAUGAGUGUUCGUAGUGGAUCCUAGAUUAUUCUGAAAUUUUUAAGUUUAAAAAUGUUGGUUUUGUACUUCAUAGUCUGUUGUAUUGGCCUACUUGCAGUUGGCUCGAUUACAUCAACAAGAUUGCUCCCUUGGUAAUAAUUUGAUAUUCAAGGAUAAUUAUUUUUCAGGACAAACUAUGGGGCAUAUUGAUUUUCAUGUACAUUGCUGCUGAUUCAGGAAAGGCUUAUCACAAGAAUUGUCUUCUUCUUGCCUGUGAUAUUUCUGCCCCACUGUCUGUUUGGCUUGGAUCCGAAUUCUCAGAGUUCGCAAAUGAUUAAUAUGGUUUUUUCUCAAUGAUUCUCCUAGCUCCAAACGGCUGAUAUGAUAGAAAGAUUUACAAUAAUAGAUAAUUUGGUAAUCAGUUGUCUUCUGCAUGUGUCCUGAGAUCAGAUCCACCUGCACUUGCUGCCAUUACUAGCUAAUGAUUAUCAGCAGUGACGGUCAAUAGAGUGAAGUCAUAGACAUGGCAGUACAGUCAAUUCUUCUCUCCUCUUACAGUGUUAUUUGUAUUAUUAACCACAAAUAUACAUUAGAAGAAUGCAUGAAAA